rnacentral:rRNA from 1 species
AUUGAACGCUGGCGGCAGGCCUAACACAUGCAAGUCGAACGGUAACAGGAAGCAGCUUGCUGCUUCGCUGACGAGUGGCGGACGGGUGAGUAAUGUCUGGGAAGCUGCCUGAUGGAGGGGGAUAACUACUGGAAACGGUAGCUAAUACCGCAUAAUGUCGCAAGACCAAAGAGGGGGACAUUCGGGCCUCUUGCCAUCGGAUGUGCCCAGAUGGGAUUAGCUUGUUGGUGGGGUAACGGCUCACCAAGGCGACGAUCCCUAGCUGGUCUGAGAGGAUGACCAGCCACACUGGAACUGAGACACGGUCCAGACUCCUACGGGAGGCAGCAGUGGGGAAUAUUGCACAAUGGGCGCAAGCCUGAUGCAGCCAUGCCGCGUGUAUGAAGAAGGCCUUCGGGUUGUAAAGUACUUUCAGCGGGGAGGAAGGGAGUAAAGUUAAUACCUUUGCUCAUUGACGUUACCCGCAGAAGAAGCACCGGCUAACUCCGUG